CUCAAGUGCAUGAAGGCCAAGUGAGGAUCUAAAAAUCAGUUAAGGAAAAGAAAGAUUGGAGAGAAAAUUUGAGAGAGGCCAAGCUUGAUGAGAGGAGAGUGAGAGCAAAAGAAUUAUAAAAAAAGAAAAGAGUGAGGGCUUGGGGCAAAAGGAGAUUAGAUAGAAGAAAAUGAGUUUGUAUGUGAGAGGAAAAGAGGUGAGGGAAGCCUUACAAGAGGGGAGACCUCUUUGUGUGCUUAUGUACCGGGAGGUGAAUUUAUGUUUAUCUGACAUUGACCAAAAAUUGUCUAGUGGUGCUGUUUCUUUAUUGCAGGAAUUUGAGGAUGUCUUUCCAGAUGAUCUUCCUUCGGGUUUGCCACCAAUUUAGGGGAUAGAACACCAAAUUGACCUCAUUCUAGGUGCUCCAAUUCCAAAUAGACUAGCAUAUAGGAGUAAUCCUGAGGAGACAAAAGAACUAUAAAGGCAAGUGGAGGAACUUUUAGCAAAGGGCUAUAUGCGUGAAAGUAUGAGUCCAUGUGCGGUUCCAGUGCUCCUUGUACCAAAGAAGGAUGAGACAUUCAGAAUGUGUGUAGAUUGUCGUGCUAUCAAAAAAAUCAUGGGCCGAAUUUGAGGAUGAAUUCUUUUCAAGAAGGAGACAAUGAUGAGGAGACGCCAACAUUGGAGCCACUUCCAUUGUUCAAUGGUCCAAUUACAAGAGCAAGGGCAAGGGAGUUGCAAAACUUGGUUAGUAGACUUUGGAGGAGCCAAGAGGAUCAGAUUAGGCUUGGGCUUAGGCCUUUCAAGGACAAAUGGAUCAGCUUCAUACAAUUGGACCUUGGAGCCUAGCCUCUAGAAUAUUCUAUUUUUGUUUCUUUAUGCCAUGUGGCAGAUUAGUUAUUUGUAAUUCAUAUAAAUACUUAUCCUCUACAUCAAAUGGGAUAGCUAAUAUUAAACAUUGAGAGAGUAUUGAUUUU